rnacentral:piRNA from 1 species
UUGAUGUUGGACGUUUCGUGGAA